AACCACAACAUGUCGGGUCUGAAAAAGAAAUGGAUUAAAUAUCUAAAGUUCUUGUCUUCAUUUGAGCGGGCCAAUAAGUGCUUGUUUGGUUACCAAUAGGAAGUUAAAUCCUAUGUAAUUUGAAAUUAUUAUGGAAAUUAUAAUAAAUGGGAAGUUAAAAUUUGUGUUUGGUUGAUAGCUGAUUUUUAAUUUCCUACAGGAAGUGCAAGUUACCAAGGGGGGUCAAGGUCAAUAACUUCCUAUGUUUUGUAGCCCUUCGACUCAUGUGUAUAAGAAGUAUAGCAACAUUUUACAAUAAUUUUACGAUAUGAAAACAAGAUACAACAUAAGCAUUAAUAUUAAUAGUGACUAUGAUAUGUCACUUUUAAUCUCCCAUAGUCAAUCCUC
rnacentral:lncRNA from 1 species